AAUACUUUUGAUCGUGUAAUGGAAAAUUCAUUGGAUUGACGAAAAUAUUGUCAAAAAAUCAAAAGCGGCCCUUACACGUGACAAUAUUAUUGUCAAUCCAAAGAAUUGUCAAUACCGUCAAUCCAAUUGGCUUGGUAACUGCAGUCUGCGUUUUUCAAACAAAUCAAGCGUUUGGAGCUUCAAAUAUUGCAACUGAACAUUGAAAUUCGCGACCUAGAAGGAACAGUGCUGCUAUCUACGAAAGUUUAAUCUGUGUGUGAAGUGAAUGCAAACAAAGUAGGGUACUUUUUCACUCAAGUAAAAUUAGUUCAUUCUCUGUUUGCUCAAUUGAUUUUCUUGUGCGUUGAAGUACUAAAAACAUUAAACGACUCCUAUUCAGUCAUUAAAACAUAUUUUGCGGUACAUCAUUGCUCGUAUUUCGUGAGUAAAAAGCGAGAAAAAACUCCUCUUCCGGCACUAGUAAUCCACAUAGGUCAUGGAUCUGAAAAGUUGCUCGAAUGGACUUGCAAAAACAUUUCAUGACAGUGUUUCUUAUACUGAUGAGAACAGUGUGUUAUGUUCCAGAUUGAGUAUACCGAUUUAAUCCUUCCCAAACAAGUAAAAUGAACAAUACAUAACAUGGAUUCAACGAUUCAGAGUUAAGUCAACGAAAACUGCUUGGGUGCAUGUGUGUCGUCAAUUUGUAAACUGGUAUAUUUAUGUAUAUUAAAUUUAUUCAUCUGACAAUAAAACAUAAUUAAUAAAUAAAUGUCAAA